UUUUUUUUUUUUUUUUUUUUUUUUUUAUGCCAUUUCUUGGGCCGCUCCCGUGGCAUAUGGAGGUUCCCAGGCUGCGGGUUGAAUUGGAGCUGUAGCCACUGGCCUAGGCCACAGCAACACGGGAUUCGAGCCGCGUCUGCAACCUACACCACAGCUCACGGCAAUGCCGGAUCCUUACCCCACUGAGCAAGGGCAUGGACCGAACCCCCAACCUCAUGGUUCCUAGUCGGAUUCGUUAACCACUGCGCCACGACGGGAACUCCUACAGGCCACAUUCUUCCUGCUACCCCAGGCUACACUGGACCUCCACUCUCCACCACAUUAAAACUCUGACUCACUCUUUUGCUAUUCUAAGGUGACUGAGCUCUGACUCAGAGCAUGGGGGAAGGAGGUUUCUAGGCUCCGGGAAGGGGCGCAGGGCUCAGGAGACAGCUGAGACUGGAACAUGAUUGUUAGUUCCCUCUCUGCUGGGACUGAGGGGAAGCAGUAGCAGGAGAGAAAUGUCCAGAAGUGGGCAGAAAGGGGCAAAGGAGGAUCUGGUCUCAAGAAGGCAAGGAAGGUGCAGAAGUUGCAUUCUUCCCAGCCAAGAAGCUUCUCAAUCUCAUCCUCUGAUCUCACCACACUGCCCCUCACAGAGCAGGACCCAUAAUGUGUCCAUAGCGGAGGACUGAAGAGCAGAAGCAGCCUGGGACACUGGGCAGCUGAACCUCUCCUAAGCUUGAAGUCACUCUGAGGACUGAGAAGAAAAUCCCUGUGGCUGUGGGCUCAGCAGGUGUCAUGGACAUGUGCUGACUUUGCAAUGUUUUCUCUCCACGCCUGCCUCUGCAACGACCUCAAAUCAGAAGAGGGAAAAGGAAGAGGACUGGGGAGGGGAUGCUCUGGGGAGGGAGCCCACAGCACACUUGGUGUGGGGACGAGGAGAGAAUGAAGGAGGGGAGCCCUGGGGCUCACAUACCUCCUUUUCUGGACUGGGAGCUCCACUAGAUGCAGCUGGUAGAAGACCACGGUGUGCAGCUGAGCAGGCCAUUCCUCCACCCUGCUGGGAGGUCCCGGUCAUGUCCACAGCAUGAAUGGCAGGCCCUGGGAUUAUGCGCUCCACCGGCUGCAGAGCAGAAGAGUGUUUCUGCCCUCUGUGCCUGCAGAUCAUCUUAAAGAGGCUUCCCCUUAUUCUAGAUUUUAACAAUGGGAACCCUGGGGCUUGAGCACCAUCCGGGAGUUGAAGAGACCGUCAUUAACCCUAAGGUCAAGUGUUACUGGCAAAGCCCUGCCCAGAGAUCUCCUUCCGGACUGUCAAGGCCUUAUCCCUGGCCCCACAGGCACGCAGGGCUGAAAUGACAGAGCCCUUGAUCAUUCCCCGCAUCAGCAAUUGUAAGAGCUAGUCCCAAUUAAAAGAGAAAGUCUAAGUAAUCUUGGACCAAAAUGAGUCAGUCCUCUUGAAUGAAGACAGAGCUUUGCCUCUCAGAUCUGCUGCUCCAACAGUUCUUGUCCAUCGCCUACAUUUGACUUUCCAAAAGAGAACCCGGACUCGUGCUCCUCAUUGGUCCUCUGCCUUUUCAGGUUCCUAUACCUCCUCCUGGUUCCCCAUCGGUCCUUUUGUCCAGGGUACCACCAUUAGGAUCAACCCAGCCUACCUCCUCUCCCCUCCCUUCUGAGUGGAAUCCAAGAACUUGCUUUUUCCAGAAUACUUCACUUCACACAUUUUAACCUGAAGGAUGAAGAGGUAAAAACAGUGUAGAUGUUUAGUGGGCAGAGGGUCCAAACUCCCACCCCUCAGGGAUACCUCAAGUAUACCACUGUCUUAGGGGAGAAGUGAGGUUGCUGACUGGAUCCCAAAUUAGGGGAGGAGAGAGAGGAAGUCAGGGGGUCAGAUGUAGCUGCUGACUGAACUCAACUGGCCUUACAAGGAAGACCCAGAGUGCCCUGAUUCAGCAGGAGCCCAAGGCUAGGACAUCCUCACUGCAGGAGGACAAGCUGGGGGAGUUGUCAGAUUUGCAUGCUGGCCUGAGCAGAAGAGCGAACUUGGCUUUGUGUCAAUUCUUGCCCCCAGUCAGCCAGACCUGGAAUGAGGCAGAGUUUCUGCCAGCUUUUCCAGCUGUGGGGCUGACCAGCCUUCACUAGCGAGCCUAAACUAGGUGGCACCUGCCCAUGGAAUUCCAACCCAGGCAGGUGCUUGAGGAACAAAAUGCUAGGGUUUCCUUUGAGCAGACCGAACAGACAAGUAGAGCACAGGGCUCUGAACUGAACUUUUUGGUUUACAACUGAGUAGAUUCCACUUAAAAUUUGCCCCUUCUUUUUCUGGUCCUUGGGUGUUUACAAUUUGCAAGGUCUUUUCCCAUUUUUUUUUUUUUUUUUUUUAGUCACUUCUCCCAUUCUUGAGCCCUGGCACAUAUCUCAAGCCUAAUGACCUCAGCUCCCACCCUCUGGUCCCUUUGAUCUCUUCUUCUGGUCUCCAAAUAUGUUUAUAGCUCCUCUCUGAGAUUCAUCCAAGAGAUUUGUUGACAUGUCUGGGUGCUGAAAUAUCAGGAUGGCAUGACAUUCAGCAGCCUGGGAGUGAUCAGAGUUGCUGAGAGGGGCAGGGACAAGCCACAUUAGUUGGAGUGCAAGGGCUCUGGUGUGGAUUUUCUGGGGUGACUGAGGAUGGUCCAAGCUCACUUGACUCCGGUUUUCCUUUGCACAAGGCUCU
ensembl:lncRNA